AACGAACGCUGGCGGCGUGCUUAACACAUGCAAGUCGAACGGAAAGGCCCUGCUUUUGUGGGGUGCUCGAGUGGCGAACGGGUGAGUAACACGUGAGUAACCUGCCCUUGACUUUGGGAUAACUUCAGGAAACUGGGGCUAAUACCGGAUAGGAGCUCCUGCUGCAUGGUGGGGGUUGGAAAGUUUCGGCGGUUGGGGGUGGACUCGCGGCUUAUCAGCUUGUUGGUGGGGUAGUGGCUUACCAAGGCUUUGACGGGUAGCCGGCCUGAGAGGGUGACCGGCCACAUUGGGACUGAGAUACGGCCCAGACUCCUACGGGAGGCAGCAGUGGGGAAUAUUGCACAAUGGGCGGAAGCCUGAUGCAGCAACGCCGCGUGCGGGAUGACGGCCUUCGGGUUGUAAACCGCUUUCGCCUGUGACGAAGCGUGAGUGACGGUAAUGGGUAAAGAAGCACCGGCUAACUACGUG
rnacentral:rRNA from 1 species